GACGGGGGGGGCAAGUGUUCUUCGGAAUGACUGGGCGUAAAGAGCUCGUAGGCGGUUUGUCGCGUCUGCUGUGAAAAACUCGGGGCUUAACCCCGGGCCUGCAGUGGGUACGGGCAGACUAGAGUGCGGUAGGGGAGACUGGAAUUCCUGGUGUAGCGGUGAAAUGCGCAGAUAUCAGGAGGAACACCGGUGGCGAAGGCGGGUCUCUGGGCCGUAACUGACGCUGAGGAGCGAAAGCGUGGGGAGCGAACAGG
rnacentral:rRNA from 1 species